AGAGGCUACGAUGCAUGAUGGUACAUUGACCUUCAGAUCUGUAGAUCCACUGCCCUAUAUUUCAAUCUUCUUCUCUUCUCUGACUUGCAUUGGUUACUUCUCAGCAGUCUUGUGAUGUUGCUUUAUCUGAAAUUUAUUGUGAUUUCUUUUUGUGGCAGAAAGUGUUCUGAUCUUCCUGAAAGCUAUCAAGGACAGGUAGUAUAUUUGGCAUUGAGGUUCUGAUCUGAAUAUUUUUGUUCAACUUUCGAAGGGCAUCUAAUCAGAUAACAGUUGACAUUUUUGUGUCUUUCGUGAUAGGUAGCUUGGCCACAAAAGAGUAGCAAUUAUGACUAUGUACCCAAAGUGUCUGAUAUGGCACGUAGACAUAAUUUGCUAAUCGGACUCUG
rnacentral:lncRNA from 1 species